UACGUAGGUGGCAAGCGUUGUCCGGAUUUACUGGGCGUAAAGGGCGUGCAGGCGGUUUGUUAAGUUCAGGGUGAAAGCUCCCGGCUCAACUGGGAGAGGUCCUUGGAUACUGGCAGACUUGAGGAGGGUAGAGGAGAGUGGAAUUCCCGGUGUAGUGGUGAUAUGCGUAGAUAUCGGGAGGAACACCAGUGGCGAAGGCGGCUCUCUGGACAGGUACUGACGCUGAGACGCGAAAGCGUGGGGAGCGAACCGG
rnacentral:rRNA from 1 species